GCAACCAGCUAGGCUCCGCCCACAAAAAACGUCAUCGCUGUUUGCAAACACCAAAUUGGUCUAUUGCAUCAUUUUUUACGCUGACCACCACGCCCAUAACUUCGUGCUGCUGGAGCGUGGACUUCUUCGUGUAAGACAGCAGUAAUGAACGCACGAAUUUCUUCGCGUAGGGCAUGUGAGACUGUGUUUGUGUGUUGGAUGGAGUAAUUUACACUGAGAUCAGGUGGAUGGUCACUCAAGGUUGCUUUACUGGGCCUGGGAGAAGACACAAGACUGGGACAAACAGGACCAAAAGGCUGAUCAGAAUACAGUGCAUCGAUGUUGCAUGAGAAGUCAGCAGGAUGAGCUAUGAGACUCUGCUGCUGAUGACACAGCUCUGCCCUGCAAUAUCAUGUGCACAAAUGCGAGCGACGCAACAGCCAAUGGUGACGCACUGCAAACACAAUACAGCUGAAGAGGAAGAAAGACGAAUGACUUUUGACUGCCGCCUCCUCUCUCUUCCUCUCACUGUUAAAGGGCAGACAUUCAGUGUGUUGCGCAGUGAGCGAGCUGGUGGGUGUUACUGAAGUUUGUGUGUGUGUGUGUGUGUGUGUGUGUCCGUGAAGUUGGGGAUUAUGUGUGUUUGACUGUCGCUGCUCGUCUGAAAGAGUCAGUUGAAACAGGUGCACCUGUGUUCCUUCACUGAAUAAUGAAUGAAUAACUGAAAGAGAAACACGAAGAACUGAGAAAUAAGGGGAAAAGAGGCUUUUGUGAGGGCUGGGUGUGUGAAUGUUGUAUGCACUGCAAAAAUAUUUUUAAGCAGGAUUUUUAUUUUGUUUUCCAACAGAAAUACAUCUAAACAUCCUUAAAACAAACUGAAAAAAAAUGUUGAAAGUAAGAG